ACCCUUUUUCUUUCUUUAGUACCUCAAUCUUGCAAUGGACCAAGGUACUACUGUUGUCAUCACAUAAUGAGUCUUACAUAAUUCAAGACAAAGGCGUCAAGACAACACUAAGACUAAAAACUGAUUUAUUAAAUUAUUUUGUUUUUUAUAAUUAUUAUUGUUCAAAUGAAAUAUUUGGCACUGUGCAGCAAA